UACGUAGGGGGCUAGCGUUAUCCGGAAUUACUGGGCGUAAAGGGUGCGUAGGCGGUCUUUCAAGCCAGAAGUGAAAGGCUACGGCUCAACCGUAGUAAGCUUUUGGAACUGUAGGACUUGAGUGCAGGAGAGGAGAGUAGAAUUCCUAGUGUAGCGGUGAAAUGCGUAGAUAUUAGGAGGAAUACCAGUAGCGAAGGCGGCUCUCUGGACUGUAACUGACGCUGAGGCACGAAAGCGUGGGGAGCGAACAGG
rnacentral:rRNA from 1 species